rnacentral:rRNA from 1 species
GAUGAACGCUGGCGGCGUGCCUAACACAUGCAAGUCGAACGGAGUCGUUUUGGAAAUCUCUUCGGAGAUGGAAUUCUCGACUUAGUGGCGGACGGGUGAGUAACGCGUGAGCAAUCUGCCUUUAAGAGGGGGAUAACAGUCGGAAACGGCUGCUAAUACCGCAUAAAGCAUUAAAUUCGCAUGUUUUUGAUGCCAAAGGAGCAAUCCGCUUUUAGAUGAGCUCGCGUCUGAUUAGCUAGUUGGCGGGGUAACGGCCCACCAAGGCGACGAUCAGUAGCCGGACUGAGAGGGUGAACGGCCACAUUGGGACUGAGACACGGCCCAGACUCCUACGGGAGGCAGCAGGGGGGAAUAUUGCGCAAUGGGGGAAACCCUGACGCAGCAACGCCGCGUGAUUGAAGAAGGCCUUCGGGGUGUAAAGAUCUUUAAUCAGGGACGAAACAAAUGACGGUACCUGAAGAAUAAGCUCCGGCUAACUACGUG